CCUACGGGGGGCAGCAGUGAGGAAUAUUGGUCAAUGGACGAGAGUCUGAACCAGCCAAGUAGCGUGAAGGAUGACUGCCCUAUGGGUUGUAAACUUCUUUUAUAAAGGAAUAAAACGAGGCACGUGUGCCUUUUUGCAUGUACUUUAUGAAUAAGGAUCGGCUAACUCCGUGCCAGCAGCCGCGGUAAUACGGAGGAUCCGAGCGUUAUCCGGAUUUAUUGGGUUUAAAGGGAGCGUAGAUGGGUUGUUAAGUCAGUCGUGAAAGUUUGCGGCUCAACCGUAAAAUUGCAAUUGAUACUGGCAGUCGUGAGUACAGUUGAGGUAGGCGGAAUUCGUGGUGUAGCGGUGAAAUGCUUAGAUAUCACGAAGAACCCCGAUUGCGAAGGCAGCUUACUAAACUGUGACUGACAUUGAUGCUCGAAAGUGUGGGUAUCAAACAGGAUUAGAUACCCGUGUAGUC
rnacentral:rRNA from 1 species